GGCAGUGUGGUGUAGUGAUUUGAGUACUGGAUUAUGACUCUGGAGAUCAGGGUUCAAAUCCCGGCUGAGCCA